CCCCUAUUGCCCACCAUGAAAGCUGGAAUGCCCACUAGUGGGCGGUAGGGACCAGGUUGACUACCACUGCUCUAUACCCUAGGAGUUGCGUUUAAACUAAGGUCUUAGGACUCAUGUAUGUGGUGAUAACAUUCUAGCACCACACUUAUUCAGUGUGCUAAUCUUAAAAGCAAUUAAUUUAAUUUUUGUAAUUAGAUCAGCCAUAUCUAUCGCAUACAAUCUUCAGUUCAUGUUUAAAUUUGGGUUUCUUUCCCAAUGAAAAUAGAAAUAGUGCACAACAGCAUCUCUUGUACUUAAACGACAGUUUGAAGAAAACACUUCAAUGAAACAACUCCCACAAAUAUAAUCUUGUAAUUCCUGAUCUUUGUAGAUCACAAUAUUUUGAAUAAUAAAUUAUUCUUUUCCCAUGCCUAGUAUUCUAUAUAUGAAACUGGUACAAAAUUGAUUUUUUAAAUAAAUGAAACAAUUGGGAGGGACAAAUAUUUAAAUUGUGGAACAUAAAUUAAGCACUGUAAUUUAAGGUAGUGGUUAAAGCACAAGACUAGAAACACGGACAGUUCUGGUCCUACCUUAGGCACAAAGCCAGCUGGGUGUCCUUGGCCAGUCACUCUCGACCCUAGGAAGGAGGCUGUGGCAAACCAUCAGGAAAACUGCAGGAAUUUGCCUAAGAAUUUGACUCAAGCAUAGAUACAAAUUGUCUAAUAAUGAUGUAAAUACAUAUAAACAUUUUACAAUGAAGAACAUAUUUGUAUUUAGAAGGUUGUGUUCCCUAAAAAUGUGUUUAGAAUCGCAGGUUUUAACAAUGCUUGAAUUUUAUUUGUGUUACCCAUGCCAAAAUCUUUGCACCUAAUUGAAGUCAGUAUUUUUACAAAAGAAAUUCCUUGCAAGUCUCAUGUAAACAUUCAGAUUUUAAUGUGUAUAAAUGAUCCUCAGCAAAGAAUGUAGUCAAACAUAACUCCUGGUAACUUCAUAGACACAUGUUGGGCUUUCUUGGUAAAACUACAGAAAUGACUUUCCAUUGCUUUCUAUUAUGUUUUUUCAGCUAAGCUGUUUAGCCUAUUUUCUAGUGGUGUUUCAUCCAAGUUUUACUGUGUCUAACCUUGUUUUUGAGAUCAGCCAAAAGUACUUCCACAGCCUAUGUAGAAAAUGUAUAAUACUAGAAGUAGCAUUAAUUGAUAAUUAUGUUGGGAAAUACCCUUACUGAAUUUAUUUUUUAGGGAAGUAUAACUUGUUCUACUUGAAUUAGGAAUCACAAACCUUUUUUUAGUAGACAAUUGUGAAGCACUAUUUAACUAUUGGCAAUAAAGAUAGCAGCCCUUAUUUGACCAUGGCUCAUCCUCCAAAAGCUGAACAGCAUUGGACCUAGUUAGUGUAUAGGUGAGAAACCACCAGGAAAUAAGACUGUAAGUUGGAUUGAAUGGUUGAAAAAAUAUAAAUGACAAGCCAUUUCUAUGCUAUUACAAAGAAACUAUGUAGACUUGUCCAUGUUGCUUCCAAAAACUGAACUGAACUGAAGUCUUAAUUCCUGUUUGCUUGAUCAUUCAGUUCUUUAUAACUCUUUGCAUACAGUGAGUUAGUGCAACAUUGGAAGUGGUAGAAAGACCCAGCUUAUGGAAUUGCCAAGAGUCAGGCAUAACUAAAUUGAUAUCAUCAUCAUACAAUAUCUUACAGUGGACAACAGUUUUCCAGUCUGUCGGUCACUAUCUGCUUUUCUGAGUAUUUGUGAGCUCAUGCUCAUGAUAUUAAUGAUAAUGUCUGGUCACCUUUUCAUUUGCUGGCUUCUUUCUAAAUUGCCUUUAAUUUUUCCAAACAUCAGUCUACUCCAAAAAUUCUUGCUUCCGUAUUAUGAAUCAAAAAAAGUUUCACUAUCUGCUUGUAUAUUCUAACCUAAUCAUCCUAAUGAAUGCUAUUUUCAUGCUAUUGGAAAAAAAUCCUCUCAGCAGUUUUCUCCAGCACCACUGUACAAAGGCAUCAAUUUGUAUUUUUUCAGGUUUAUAAAAAAUUUACAAAUCUUUAUAAAUUAUUGCUGUCAAUAUGGUUUUUGAAUACAUUUCUUAUGGCCUCCAAAAAGCAGAUGUCAUUUUGUUUCAUGAUUACAGUCUUCAGUGCAGCAUUUUUUGCAUCCAGGAAGAUAAAGUCUGCUAUUUCUCCCAUCACUUCUUCAGGUAUUUGCACUGGACUGAUAAUAAUAGCUAACUUUGUUUUCCUUCAAGUUACUCUUAAAAACUGCCUGGAUAAGUUCCUUUGUGUUUUUUGACAACAUUUUGGGAACUGGUUUGAUGUUUUAGGUCUGAGAGAGAAUUAUUGAUGCAAUCACCCAGCUAGAUUUCUACUUAACUCAUGGUCUCUGAUUUUAACCAUUUAACCAACUGGCUUUCAACAGCUGGCAUGACCCUAUUUUAAAAAAAUAUUGGGCAUAAGAGCAACCUUUGUAACUUCCACUUUGAUCUUCAAUAAGACAUAACUUCAACACAGUUCAUCACAAUCUUGAAUUAGUUAUUCCAUGUUCUAUUGCUUCCUAAUCAACAUAUAUAUUUUAACUUGCAGAUAAAGUACUGUAGUCUGAUAAUAUCUAUGUUUUAAAGGACAAUUUACAAUACGUUAUAGACUGCAACUCCUGCAAUUUAAAAUUUUAAUAUAAUCAAUGCAGCAAAAAUAAAUAUAUUUUAAUCCUCUUUUGCCUUUUUCAUUACCUUUUGGAAAUUUGCAAUGUGAUCAUUCCUCUAAUGUCUCUGAAAUCUUCCCAACACUAGUAAUUCUUGUUCCAUAUAUAUUGUUUGUAUACGUGCACUUAUUUAGUAGUUGAGCAUUCUUUAGAACGGCUCUUGUAGUAUUGAACUAUAUAAAUUAGUCUAUUCCAGUUCUUUGGCCAACACUGUUUUCUAUAACUGCUUACAAACUUACAAGUAGUGCUUUAAAACACUUCUACCAGUAUUUUAUCAUAAACUCCUAAAAGGAGUUUUUGUUAGCAAUAUUUUCUAGAGCUACUUAAUUUAGUUUUGAAAAUGCCUGGUUCUGGAUUGGAGCUCCAGAAUUCCCUCAAGCCACUGCUGGACAUCCAUCUAUGACUAUAUCUACUCACAUCAUGGUCUAAUGCUUGUAUUAAUUCUAAAUACAAGUCUUUAUUGGUAGGUGUUUUUUUCCUGACCCACAAGUUUUAGUCUAAAUUUUAUUAUCUCAGACCUUCACUUGGAAACAGUAUUUCUUAAAAUGUCCCAUUUCUCCAUGCUUGAAGUAUGAGAAGGCUGAUUUGUCAGGAAGUUUAGUCCCUGGUUGCAGAUUGGGUAGAAUCAUAGAAUUGUAGAAACGGAUAAGUCCACCAUGAUCAUCUAGUCUAACUCUUUGCAAUGUGCAGUAGAACCAAUGAAAAAGUCCUAUGAGAGCUGACUGUUCAGAUUUUUAAAAUUCUUCAGAAAUUGGAAUACCCAUCUGCCUAUGUAGGUAGCCUGUUAUACCUUGUACAGUUGUCAUUUUAUUUAAAUAAAUCUAGUACAAUUUACAACUCUUAUUUUUGGUCCUAGUUGACAAUCUUCCCUGCAAUUUCCUUUAUGUGCUUGAACACGUUACUUCAAGUCUACCUUCCUCCACGUUAAGAUUUUUUUCAGCCUAUUAUCAUAGGCUUAUUAACAAUAGCAAUAAAGAACCAAUGGUAUGACCUGGAGGGAAAUGGACAAAAAUCAAGAAAUAAGCAAAGAAGACUGAAACAUUCUUUUAAGACCUUGGAAACUUGGUAGUAUUUAGAAUAGAUUUAGGUAAGCCUUCCUAAUUGACUAGACCCCACAAGGGUCGAGUUGCGAACUGUGGCUUUUCUUUUCUUUUUUGAAAAAUUUUUGUUUCAAUAAAAAAAAAAAAAGAA